rnacentral:lncRNA from 1 species
AUUGCAAGUUGGAUACAUUGAUAAUACACUGCACAGAUUAAAGUCCCAUAAGAACAGAACAUGGGUAUAGCAGUGAUUAAUAUGAAGCACGUCUGUUGCGUAGUGCGUAGCAAAUGAUAUGGAUUGAAGUCCCGAAAGGACAAUCCUUUAACAUGUCAAUAUUGAUACGGUGCACGCCUAAUGCUUAACAGACAUGUAUGUAUUAAUC